rnacentral:rRNA from 1 species
AGCGAACGCUGGCGGCAGGCCUAACACAUGCAAGUCGAACGAACUCUUCGGAGUUAGUGGCGGGCGGGUGAGUAACACGUGGGAACGUGCCUUUAGGUUCGGAAUAACUCAGGGAAACUUGUGCUAAUACCGAAUGUGCCCUUCGGGGGAAAGAUUUAUCGCCUUUAGAGCGGCCCGCGUCUGAUUAGCUAGUUGGUGAUGUAAAGGCUCACCAAGGCGACGAUCAGUAGCUGGUCUGAGAGGAUGAUCAGCCACAUUGGGACUGAGACACGGCCCAAACUCCUACGGGAGGCAGCAGUGGGGAAUCUUGCGCAAUGGGCGAAAGCCUGACGCAGCCAUGCCGCGUGAAUGAUGAAGGUCUUAGGAUUGUAAAAUUCUUUCACCGGGGACGAUAAUGACGGUACCCGGAGAAGAAGCCCCGGCUAACUUCGUG